rnacentral:rRNA from 1 species
UACGGAGGGUGCAAGCGUUAAUCGGAAUUACUGGGCGUAAAGCGUGCGUAGGCGGUUCGUUAAGUCUGUUGUGAAAGCCCCGGGCUCGAACCUGGGAAUGGCAAUGGAUACUGGCGAGCUAGAGUGUGUCAGAGGAUGGUGGAAUUCCCGGUGGUAGCGGUGAAAUGCGUAGAGAAUCGGGAGGAACAUCAGUGGCGAAGGCGGCCAUCUGGGACAACACUGACGCUGAGGCACGAAAGCGUGGGGAGCAAACAGG